AUUCAUACGCGUAACAUCAUCCGAUCGGCCAUAUCUCUGAGAAAAUGUAGGCACCAAAACAUAGGUGCUAACGUGCUUGAAAAUGUUAUUUUAUUAUGUUUUAGCCUGUGUUUUUCUUACAACUGUUUUAAUUGAAGUCACUACAGGACUAAAAUGCUUCUGUGAAGAAUGCAUUUUCGCAAAUCAGACCUGUGAGACAAAUGGUGUGUGCAUCACACUGAAGGCUAGGAGGGAUGAUGGGACGUAUAAGAUACGUUACAGAUGUAGUUUAGAAAAUGCGGAACUUCCUCAGAUUCCACAUGGACACAUAUUUGACUGUCUGAAUACCAAACCAUCAGCAGACGAAUCCACGCGACUUUGUUGCAGGGACGAGGACUUCUGCAAUAAAUAUCUCACACCUACAUUUCCUCCUCCCACAACCCAUCCCCCGGCAGUCGGAGAGACUGCUGAGCCGAGGUUGACAUUUGGGACAUUGGAAUUGGUGUGCCUAAUCGCAGGACCAGUAGUGGUGGUCUCCAUCCUGUUUGUCAUUUGUUUCCUCUCCUACAGACAAUGCCAGCAACAGGGGUACUGCUUAACCCCCAAGGGUAUGAUAGACGGACCCAGCGAAACACAACCCUUCAUGCAGCCUGGUCAGAAUGCAGACACCUUGAGGGAAAUGAUAAUAGAAUAUUCUGGAUCUGGAUCAGGACUUCCUUUGCUGGUUCAGAGAACCAUUGCUAGACAGAUACAGCUGGUAGAGAUCAUUGGAAAAGGUCGAUAUGGAGAGGUCUGGCGUGGUCGCUGGAGAGCUGAGAAUGUAGCUGUGAAAAUAUUUUCCUCCCGUGAAGAACGAUCAUGGAUUCGAGAGGCUGAGAUUUACCAAACAGUCAUGCUUAGACAUGAAAAUAUUCUAGGAUUCAUAGCGGCAGAUAAUAAAGAUAAUGGUACAUGGACCCAGUUGUGGCUUGUCACAGAUUACCAUGCCAAUGGUUCGUUGUUCGAUUACCUGAAUAGAACUGUGUUGUCGACCACACAAAUGAUCCGGCUGGCUAUGUCUGCUUCAUGUGGGCUUGCCCACCUUCACAUGGAUAUCGUGGGCACAGAAAUUCAUGCUGGGAAACCAGCCAUUGCUCACCGAGACUUGAAAAGUAAAAACAUUCUGGUGCGGAAUGAUGGAGUCAGUUGCUGUAUAGCAGACUUGGGGCUGGCUGUACGUCAUGACCCUGUAACGGAUGCGGUGGACAUUGCUCCCAAUAACCGAGUCGGGACUAAGCGGUACAUGGCUCCAGAGGUGCUGAAUGACACGAUCAAUAUGAAUCAGUUUGAUUCCUUCAAGAGAGCGGAUGUGUAUUCAUUUGGACUGGUGUUAUGGGAAAUUACUCGUCGGUGUUCAGUGGGAGGUAUAGUUGAGGACUACCAGCUGCCAUUUUAUGAUAUUGUGCCCUCUGAUCCAAGUUUGGAGGACAUGAAGAAAGUGGUUUGUGAUGAUCGCCAGAGGCCAGGGAUCCCCAACAGAUGGCAGACUGUUGAUGUAAGUGCACAACUGUCAAGAAAAGUGUAAUCUGUAAUACAUGUACAUGUGGAACUUUUACUCAGGUGACCUAUUGCUAUUGAUCCGAGUCUGUUGUCAUGCAUGCAUCAUCCGAUAAUAAUUUAGCAUUUUAACUUCUUUUUGAUGACUACCAUUCCAAUUCUUUUCUAAUUUGGUAUGAAGCACCUUUGGGACAAGGGAUUCAGAAAAUGUUUUUUUUAAAGUGCUAAGCGUAGCUUAGGCGCUUAUUGCCGCCAGUUGGGUUUUGCUUUCGUCAUCAUGUUUCCGGUUUAUCGCCACCUACAGGCGAAUUUAUGCAUCGCUGUAGUCAAGUCGUGUUUAAAGUAGUCGUAAUUUUGCAACCAAUCUAGCAUGGGGAUAACAUUCAUAUCUGCAGUUGCAUAUUUUCCCUGGAAAUACAGUUCGUUGAACAGUGAACAAAAUAUGUAUAAAAAGGGUGAUAUUUUUGUUCUCAUUCUUGGGGAAAGUGAGACACAGAUGCAGGUCAUUCUUCAGUUAAAAUUCCCAUUUGAAUCUGCGUCGGUAAUAAUUAAAGUGAUUCAAAAUCUUAAAAUUGAAUAAGAAUGUGUAUAUGAAACCGUUUUAGCUAGGGUGCCUUUGCAUUGUUACCUUCGCAUGGCGCUUAGAGGCCAGGAAAAUCAAUUUGCAUGGUGUAAUCUAUAAUUAGAAGCCACGUCAUUAAGUUGUACACGAGUCAGGAGGGUUUUCCACUUGUGUUUUGGCUGCUGUUCCGACUCAGUAAAAUUUUUGUCCGACGCAGCAAAAAUGUGUGCAACACAGUAAACAAUUAACUGAUCCGCGUCCAUUGUGAACGAGAAAGAAUUUGUGCACGAUUAUGCUUUGACAGUGAAGGACAGAGAUCGGUGUCUCAGAAGGAUGAUAUUGCGUAACUGCUUACACCUUCCCCGAUCAUAUAUGUAAGUCGGUCAUGCAGAAAUUUAGAGGAUGCAACGGUGUAACUUAAGCUUACUUUAUUAUUUCUAAACAACCAAGAUAUUCUUCAGAAUCAUCGUCAACACAAUCAAAUUUGAUUUCGUGAUUUAGUUUCAAAAAUGAGACUAAAAAUAAUAGUCUUGGGGCAAGGAAAAGAUAAAAGGUACAACAUAUAUUAUAUUAUAUCAUAUUAUGGAAGACAAUACCCCGGUUUCAAGUAUUCAAAACACCGCGUGGAAUUUUACGAGCGCUGUAUACUGAAAUACAUAUGUUUAGAACAAGUGUUAGAUAAACAUUGCCAUUGUGUCAAGCAUGAAUGUGAAAUGGUUUGCGGUCCACAGCACGCUACAUACAACGAAAAGUAAUCGUGCUUUCAAUUUCUUUGUACUUCAAACAAACAAUUGACAAUGACAUGCAUAUGCUACAUGUAUUUCCGAACGCACAAAUGAUGAAGGGGGAGGGGCAUGGAUGUACUGUCGUUGUUCCCUGUCCCCACAUUUUGUUUUCGCUGAACGAUCUUUUCAUAUAAAAAAGAUGCAUUUAGUUUUUUGGUGAGAUGCCUCUUCAUUAUUUCUAACAGCGGUUUGAACAUUACCGUUUGAAAAUUACUUUUGUAACUUUUCAGUGCCAAGUUUGGGAUUCUCAUUUAGCUACAUUUACAUGUUGUAAAUUUUGCAUAUUUAUUGCGAGUCACUUCUGUUACGUUUUUUUUUUUUUCAUAUUAGAACUCCUACACAAGCUUCGAAUCUUAUGGUUUUUUGCUAAGGUUAUUAGCAUUUUCAUAUAAACAAUUGUUUUCUAAAAUUAAAACAAUAGCAAUGUGUAUUGUCUCAUUCAGACAAAUGGAUUAGUCUCCUUUGCAAUAUGAAUAUGAGCUUUUACACAAGAAGUGUAAUACACACAAGUUGAUGAGUACAGCGUUUAAUAUACCUGUGUACAAACUCUUGGUUUUUUUGUUUGUUUUUUAGAUUUACGUAUAACAAACAAUCACUACAAUUGCUAAAUGUAAAUCCAUGCUUAUAUGUUAAUCUAAUUCAUCAUCAUAUUUGAAUUAGUAUAUCCUCUUGCACUAACUUUCAUGUUAAAAAUGAGCUAUCUCCACUCUUGUUGAUGACGCAGUAUUCAGUUUCAAAGUAAUAUUGCACAUGUAUGAUGAACAUCUUUUCUAAAUGACUUCCUAAAUUUUGUUUUCAGUUAUACAUGUAUUUAUCAGACUUAUUUGGAUUCAGAUUCUCUCCAACCUGAUUUUGAAUUGAAAAUAACUUCAUUAUUGAUUACAAAAAAUAAUUCCACUUUCAUGGUUUGAUUGCUAUUUACAGAUGAUUAUGCACUGGAUUCUGUAGUGCAAGUCAUACAGAUGCAUGUUUAUGUGUGUAUCUAAAUGAUUUCUGGUAAGGUAAUGAAAUGGAUGUAAAGCAUUUCAUAAUCCUGCAUUAUUGGUGUGUUUUGACAUGUUACAUUUGUUAGUGUAUGUGGUUAUGUGUAAUUUUCUUUUUUGUCCAGUUUGUUUGUUCCUUUCUAUUAUAAGUGACGUACAUAUAUGUAUCAAACUAUUGAUUUGUUUCAUUUCAGUUGUAUUCUAAAUAUAUUUCAUACACUAUUUAACUGGAACACAACAGUAAGUUAGUUGCGUAAUAACAAUUGAACACUUUAUACCGAAAACUACCAUUACAACUGUUUUUACAUUUUCUACCAAAAAUGUUCUUCUCUAUAACAUCACAUCUGUAAGAGAAAAAAAUGCAUAGUCCUGUAGAACAUUUAAUGAUCCAGGGACCGGAGCAGAGCGGAUCAGAAACCCUUGCCUUGGGAAGAUGGGUGGGAGCUAAACAGGGUAUAAAGUGUUCAUUUGUCAAAUAUUUGAAUAACACAGCCUUAAAUGCUAUUGAUUGAUAGCCUUAAAUGCUAUUGAUUGAUUGUAUCUUGUUUAACGUUUUUCUCAAUAAUUUUUAAUUCAUAUGGAGACGUCAUCAAGACCGGUGAAGGGCUUCAAAUUUAGGCCUCUGCUCGGCGCUUACGGCCAUUGAGCAGUGAGGGUUCUUUAGCAUGCCACACCUACUGUGACACGGGACAUCCGUUUUAAAGGCCAUCUCCGAGAACCCGUGACAUUCACACCUGAUGCCGAGAGUUUGGUGAUGGAACUGUCACUACCUGUUUAACGAACUAGGUCUGUCGCGGCCGGUAUUCGAACCCCGACCGCCCUCAUACAGAGCGAACACUUUACCUCUGGACCACCGCAGCGGUGAGUUUAAAAGUGAUGUCACGACUGAUGAGAGAAUGCUGGUAUCAUAAUCCUGCCGCACGUCUGACCACCCUCCGCAUAAAAAAAUCCUUAGAUAAUUUGGCACAGGCUGAAGACCUGAAAAUCUGAUAUUGAAAAGUCAAAACUGUCCAGAA